GAGGAAUAGGGAAGCGUGGGUGCGGAUCGCUAGCUUCGGCGGCGUUCAGUGGCGGCGAUCGGACCUCCGGAGUACGGCGGUGGCGAGCGGGGAAAGAGGCAUCCAGUGGGUGCGUGGACCCUGGGCCCCGGCAAAGGAGGAGUGGUGAUCCGACCUCGAACCUCCUCCGGGCUCCUCCACUGGUACUCCUCGCGCGUCGGCGGCCUCGGUAACCAUCUAGGUCGGCCCUCGCAGCCGUUGGUAGGGAGGAAGGCCGCCGCUACUUAUUAACUUCUCCGAACUCCUCUUACCCGCGUACCCGGCACGCGCAGAGGGCGCGAUCCUCGGUGGCAAGGAGCAGUAGACGAUCCUAGGUGCUCCUUAGCUAGGUAUAUUACAAACGCCCCUCGAGCCAAUCACAGCUACGGAGUUCCCAAAUACGUAUAGUUAAGGUACAACGAAUUUCGGUGACAUUGUCACAUUGGUACCGAUGACCAAAAGUCUAAGUUUUCUUCGUAUUACCUCAACGUCGACUUGGCAAGAAGCCAACCUACUUCUUCGUUUACAUUAAUCUUCUGAAAUGAAUCGUUAUUAACAUCAAACGUAACUAUCUAACUUUUUACAUUGUGGUAAGUCUUCUAGAAAAAGAAACCAGCUUAACUACGUUUACGAUACCACAUUAUAAGAAGUAUCUACACAAGAGAUAUCAUUUUAUAUAUACUUACUAUACUACAGAUCGGUUAUUGUAACCAUACAUAAAUAACAUUACGUAUACAUAGGAUGUGAGAACAUAUAAGUAUUAUUUAUGGAACUAUAAAAGUUAAACAC
rnacentral:rRNA from 1 species